CUGCUGAGGCAAAUGAAGAUGUUAUCUGAGGUCUUGGAAGAAUUGUCCCUCCAUGUAGUGGAUGAAUCAGGCCGAUUCGUGGAUGCUCUGACCAAGGUGAUCGACAUGUUUGAGAUUGAAUCGAGCUGGCUUCGCAAGCAAAUCAUUCCCAACUUGGAUACAUACCUCUGGCUGAGAGAGAUCACAUCUGGUGUGGCUCCUUGCUUUGCUCUGAUUGAUGGUUUGCUGCAACUUAGGCUGGAGGAGCGUGGCGUGCUGGAUCAUCCUCUCAUACGCAAGGUUGAGGAGAUUGGGACGCACCACAUUGCGCUCCACAAUGACAUGAUCUCGUUCAGGAAGGAGUGGGCGAAAGGAUACUACCUCAACGCCGUGCCCAUUCUCGCCAGCAAUUGUAAGUGUGGCUUGAACGAGGCAAUUGGCAAGGUUGCGAGCAUGGUGGAGGAUUUGGAGAAGGAUUUCGCCCAGACAAAGCAUGAGAUCGUUUCAAGUGGGCUUGCCAUGAAGCAAGGAGUCAUGGACUAUGUGGACGGGAUAGAGGUGUGGAUGGCCGGAAGCGUAGAAUGGGCAUGGACGAGCGCUAGAUACCAUGGAAUUGGGUGGAUCCCUCCUCCAGAAAAAUCAGCGACCUUCCAACUCUAGAUUGUUGCUCAAAUAGUAAAUAAUAAUUUCUCUCAUGGAGUGUUUUAGAAAUUCAUAUCUAAGCAGUGUUUUCGUCCUGAACAAGCAAAUUGAAAUGCACGGUAGAUGUGGUAACAUCAAGCACGCAGCUCAGAUCUUCCAUGCUAUGGCCAAGAGGGACAAGUUCAGCUGGGAUCUUUUGCUGGUUGCCUACUGCAAAAACGGGCACUUUGAUGAAGCGCGAAGGUUCUUCAGCUGCAUGCCGUGCUGGAGCCUUGUGUCAUUUACUACUAUGAUUUCUGUUGCCUCCCAGAGAGGCCAAAUGCAAGAAAUACAAUCCGUUACAAACUUGAUGCCAGAGCACGAUCUUUUCUCUGUAAACGCGGUGCUUUUUGCAUUUGCCGAAAAUGGGCAUCUUGAUUUUGCCAAGGUAGUCUUUAGCAAAAUGCCUGCUCGCAACUUGGUGUCGUGGACGACGAUGCUGGGGGCUUUAUCUCAGCUCGCGGAUGUGGAAAGCACUUUUGAAGAGAUGCCGGAGCACGAUGUCGUCUCGUGCACUUGCGCAAUUGCAGCAUUCUCCCGUCACGGGCAUCUGGAGUCUUCUCUGGAGCUCUUCCACGCCAUGCGUGUGAGGAAUCUCUCGACUUGCACGGCAAUCCUCUCCGGCUACGUCCACUGCGGCCUCCUGAAAGAGUCUGAGCGCUUCUUUCACGAUCAGAUGCCACAGCACGAUCUUGUCUCCGUCACAACGCUGCUCGUCGCCUACACCCAAAGCCAACGCCUUGAGGAAGCCAGCUGCCUCUUUGAUUCUCUUCCGUACGUAGAUGCCGUGUGUUGGAACGCCAUAGCCACGGGAUUUUCCCAGUGCGGCCUCCUGGACGAAACCACGAAAAUCCUCGACAAAAUGCCGGCAUGGAAUCUUGCAACCUGGAACACGCUGCUAACAUCACACUCCUUGCAAGGGAAUCUUACCGGGGCUAUAAGAGUCUUUCACGAAAUGCCAGACAAGAACUUGGUGUCGUGGAACGCCAUGCUCUCGGCAUAUGCCCAAAACGGGCAUCUUUCUCUUGCAAGGAAGGUGUUCCAAACGAUGCCCUUGCGCAGCGUUGAAUCCUUCAGUGCAAUGCUGACCGCAUAUGCCCAAGCCGGCAGCCCCAGCGACGUGUUUGAUUCCUUCGAAGAGAUGAAGCUAGUGGAGAUGCCCGACGAUUCCUGCUUCACUUUGGUGCUGAUUGCGAGCAGUCAAGUUGGCGAGCCCAAAGUCGGCGGCUCCUACUUCAGCUCCAUGCGUCUGGAUUACGGGGUGGUGGCGAGGAAGCAACACUACUGCUGCAUCGUGGACAUGCUGGGGCGAGCGGGAUACCUGGAUGCGGCGGAAGAGCUUGCGCAAACCAUGCCUUUUCUUCCCAACUCGUGGGACUGGACGUCCAUGCUAAGUUCUUCCAGACGCGAUAGAAUCUGGAAAAACGGUGCUCGAGUGACGAAACGAGCUUUGCUUUCGGGCCCCAGCGAUGGAGCUGCUCUUGUGCUGCUCGCAAACUCACGCUCCUCUUGAUUCUUACUACUUUUCCGAAACUUUACCUUUAUAGAAUGGGUUAUCGAAUUUGGGCUCAUAAUGGAGCAAGAAGCUCAAUCGUUCUUCGAUUCGGCCCCGCCUCUCCGAUGGACGAUGUGGUCGCGAGCGUGAAUCGCUUCUUGGAUAUCUGGAAGGCGGCAUCGGCCAUCGGCCAAGGUUUAUCCUUACUAGCAUUUCUCAUAUUUUGGAGCCGAAUCGCGUGAUUCUAGAGGAGGCGCAUUGCCGUUGUUACAUCCGGGGGCACGACCGUGCCCUUGGAGCGACGAUGCGUUAGGGUCAUUGACAAUUUCAGCUCGGGGAGUCGAUCGGGAGUCGAUGAGCAGCCUCCACAGAGUGCGUUAUUCUUUUCUACUCAUUCUUCUUUUAUGAUUUUUCUUUUUUUUUUUUUUUUUGCAAGGUACUUUUGGCUGCAUGCAAGAAUGUCUCGAGCCUGUGGAUGGAUCAAUCCGGGGUAAGUGAAAUCUGCCAUUUAUUUCUUCGAGAGUUUAACUCCUGCUUCGCAGUACGAGAAAAAUGGUUUGAUGUUGUGACUCGGGCAGUCACAGGACAUCAUUCUGUAAGCUCAGUUCUUGUUUCUCUUUUUGAGUUCUUAAGAAUCAAAACAGGCGGUGCUCCAGAAGAAGCUGUUGAAGCUCGAGUUCACUACGCUCUUCGAGUACCUCCAAGUAAGAAAUGUGCCGCGCAAACACUGGUUUCUAUGACGGUUUUUCGUGGCAGAUUUUAGAGAUUGUUGGAGCUGCCAUGAAACCAGUUGGCAGGCAUGCUAUGUUUUACUUUGCAGCGGCUGUCUCUGACUUCUACAUCCCUUGGAACUCCAUGGUAAGAACUUCUCGUCUUCUCUUGUUUUGUUUUCGGUGGAAAUCUCAAAAAUAAUCUUCUCUAAGAUCCUGUCAAAACUAUCUCACCGAAAAAUUAAAUGUUUAAAGUGUCAGAUAUAUUUAGGUUAAAUAUAUUCAGGGAAGAAGCUCAAAGCAAUCAUUUCCUUAAAUGAACGAAACCAUUUUUAGGGUUGGCAGUCCAGGAGGAGCGUGGGGUUUUGAUAAAUUUAUAUGGAAUAAUAUACUCUAGGAAAACUAGUGUUGAUUAUACUUAUAUAGUGGGUGAUAAUAUAAGAAUUAGAGAGUCUAAAGUUAGAGUAAAUAUUGAUGGAUAAAUAGAGUAAAUUAGUGAAGUAUUUAAGAGCUAACUUUAAUUCUAACCUGUCAGAAAGAUUUACUUAUAAGCUUUUUCUAAAUUCCUUGUAUGUGAGUUUUAAUCCAAGAUCAAACAAUAUAUAAAGCUUUUCACUUGGGUUCUUUUAUUUAGAGUGUAAAAAAAGUUUAAAGCAUUCUUAUGCAUUUCUAAGUAAUGCAGAUAAAUCUUAGAUAAAGCUUUUCAAUGAACUCUAAAACAAAAUUUUAGGAAUUAGCAGUUACAAAAUCUUUAUAUUUUUUUAUUCAGAUAUGUGUUUGUUAGUUUUAAUGAGUGUUUUGAGAGUAUUUGAGUGAGAUUUUUAAAUUUACUUUUUUACAAGAUUGUUAUAAAUGUUUUUAGAGUUUGGUUUCAUGAUUUUUAGAGUAGUGUACAAAAAGUUUAAAAGUUUUUUUUAAAUCUUUUUGUUAGUUUAUGCUUAUAAGGAAUUUUUAAAAGUUUGAGAGAUUUUUCUUAUAUAUUUAUCCCUUGUAUCAUCUUAUCGUUUAGUUUAGUGCCCUUGAGUAUAUAUAGCUAUUUGAUGUCUCAUGUAUAAUCAUCUCUUUUGAUUGAGAAACUUUUACUUGAAUGGAGAACAACAUCUAAUAUAUAGUAAGUGUAUAAGAGGUUAUAAAGUGUUAUAAAAAGUGAUUUUAAAAUCCUUGAGUGUUUAGCAAGCAUAAAACCUUGUGAUUGAGCUCUCCAAGCUCUAGACUAACAUCAUAGUAUAUACAUAGUUUUUGUAUUUGGCGCAUUUUAGAAGUUUAAUGUCUAUUCAUAUGCAUUAGUCAAGUGUUGUUGCUAUAUAAACUCCUCUUUGGACACAUAUAACUUAAAGGAAUUCUUAAGGUUUAUAUGCUAGUAAUUAUUAGACAAUGUUGUUGGUAAAUGAGUCUUCAUCAUUUAUAAUAGAUUCCAAAGAAGAGCACAAUUAAAACAUUACACCAAUGGUGGCAACUAUUCAUAUCCUUUAUAGGGCAAUGGACUUCCCAAAGUUCUAUCUUGGAUCAAGUAUUUUGGCUUACAAUCAUAUUAAUCAAUUUCAAACUUACUUAAGAUACAACAAAAUCACCAAAGAUGCUUUGUCCCAAGAAUUAUUCUUGAGAUCCUUAAAAACAAUAGUAGUAGAUUGGGCAUCUUUCUUGCUUCCAAAUGAAUGAUGGUCAUUGUCUACAAUGAUUGACAAAUUUCUCAAACAAUUUAGAAUGGAGAAAACUAACUAACAACUCUACAUAAACUGUUUUAAGUUUGGCAAAUGCUGCAAAAGAAUAUCAAUAACUACACUAUCCAAUUUAAAAAGUAUUAGUGUGCAUGUUUGCUAUAGACAGAUGAGAAGCCCAUGGUGUCAGCAUUCAUCCAAAACUCAAGCUUGAAGUGCAACACAAAGUCCUCAAGUGCCAACAUGAAACUUGCAAACUAACAUUUAGCUAUGCAUUAAAGGACAUGCUCUUUGAGCUUGGCAUGCACCAUGACAUCCACUCUUAACCAGGCUUCCAGGCCCAAAUGUGUGCCAUUCCCAAUCUACCACAUGUUGUUAAAGACAAGAUGCCCACAGUGAUUGAGUUGGUGCUUAAUGAGCUUAAAGAGCAUUGAGCAUUUGUGCAACAGUAGACUCAAUAGCAAGAGAAGCUUGUGGAGGAGCUACAAUCUCUUAGGAUGUAGACUGAAACUCGGUGGCAUCAUUACUGGUGCAAGAAAUAUAACGUUGAUACACACAACAUUGCAAGAUGUUGGAACUCCAUCUAGAACUUUGGCUUUAGUGACCACAGUGAGUCCAAUGACAACCACUUGCAAACAACACAACCCUAGCUUCGUCCUCCAUAGAUUAUCAUGAGAAUGACAGUCUGGGGCAUUGAGCCAAACAUGGUGACUUACAACAGCUUGAUCCAUGGCUUAUGCAUGACCAACGGGGUAGACUCCACACUUUUGCUGAUGGAAGAGAUGACAGCAACAGGGUGCCUUCCGGAUAUCAACACCUACAACACACUUAUUGAUGGCCUUUGCAAGACAGGAAGGGUGCCAGAAGCGAACAGGCUGUUUGGAGAAAUGAAGGCCAAGUUUUGCAACCCAGAUGUUAUCACGUACAGCUGCUUGAUUGGUGGGUUUUGUAAGCUAGAUAGGAUCAACAUGGCUUGCACGUUGUUCGAUGACAUGCUCAAGCAGGCAGCCCUCCCCGACGUCGUCACAUUCCCGACACUAGUGGAAGGAUACUGUAAUGCUGGACUGGUGGAUGACGCCGAGAGGCUUCUGGAAGAGAUGGUUGCUAGUGACUGCUCUCCAGACGUGUAUACGUACACAAGCCUGGUCGACGACUUCUGCAAAGUCAAAAGAAUGGUGGAGGCGCACAGAGUUCUCAAGCGAAUGGCCAAGGGGGGGUGUACAGGAGCUUGACCGGUGGCUUCUGUGGGACUGGGGACCUGGAAGAGGCUCACAAGAUGCUCGAGAGACUGGAGCACAACGAGAACCGUUGGAAAAUGGAUCUGCCAAUCCAUGCCUACCACAGGCCAUCCAACCAUAGCUCCGAUACCAUAUUGGAAAAUAUGGUCUACUAGACAGGCCAGGGAUUAAACCCAAGACCUCCUACACUAGUGCCAGGUGCUCUACCACUGAGCUACCUGCCCUGGUUGUGUGCAUGUUCAGCUUAGUUCUAACAAGAACUGCAAGGCAGAUAUGUUCGCGUACCGGAUGAUGAUGGACGGGCUGUGUAGAACCGGGAGAAUGAGCGCAGCUCUGGAGCUUCUCGAGGCCAUCAAGCAGAGUGGCACGCCUCCUCGCCACGAUAUCUAUGUGGCGUUGAUCAGGGGGCUGUGCCAGGGGAAAGAGCUCCGCAAAGCCAUGGAAGUUUUGGAAGAGAUGACGCUCUCAAGGAAAGGCAGGCCAAAUGCCAAGGCUUACAAGGCGGUGAUCCAGGAGCUAGCGAGAGAAGGGAGACACGAAAAGGCAAAUGCACUCUCAGACGAAUUACUUGGUAACAAAGGCCAGUAAAACGAGAUUUGUAAUCACAAAUCCGGAACAUUGUGUGAACACUAUCUGGGAUGUUUCCUAAGGUUUUUCGCAGAAAUCAGCAACCAUUCAACUAUUUAGUUUGAAUUUGCUUCUAAUUUUAUCUAUAAAAGCCCUCUUUCAGUGUUUAAAAUUCACUUAGGAACUCUUCUUUCAUGGCUCUUCCAUCCAUUGCGAGGAUUUUCGCAGCAGAGAAAAGCUAUUCCAUUCCACCAGUGUGUAAACUCCUUGCCUCUCCAGUGUUGAAUCCGCUGUACGAUGCAAAGGCCGACGCUCAGAUCGAUGCGUGGUGCGCGGAGUUUCUGAAGUUGCAACCUGGAAGCGAGAAAGCUGUGUUUGUUCAAGAAAGCAGGCUUGGAUUGCUCGCGGCUUAUGUUUACCCCAGCAUUCCAUACGAGAAGAUUGUUCCGGUUGCAAAGUUCUUCGCUUGGUUCUUUCUUGCAGAUGACAUUCUGGAUAGCCCGGAGAUCUCCUCGUCAGACAUGAGAUAUGUGGCAACUGCAUACAAGAUGGUUUUCAAGGGAAGAUUUGACGAGGCCACGCUUCCAGUGAAAAAUCCGGAGCUGCUGAGGCAAAUGAAGAUGUUAGCUGAGGUUUUGGAAGAACUGUCCCUCCAUAUAGUGGAUGAAUCAGGCCGAUUCGUGGAUGCUAUGACCAAGGUGCUCGACAUGUUUGAGAUUGAAUCGAGCUGGCUUCGCAAGCAAAUCCUUCCCAACCUGGAUACGUACCUCUGGCUGAGAGAGAUCACAUCUGGUGUGGCUCCUUGCUUUGCUCUGAUUGAUGGUUUACUGCAACUUAGGCUGGAGGAGCGUGGCGUGCUGGAUCAUCCUCUCAUACGCAAGGUUGAGGAGAUUGGGACGCACCACAUUGCGCUCCACAAUGACUUGAUCUCGUUCAGGAAGGAGUGGGCGAAAGGAAACUACCUCAACGCCGUGCCCAUUCUCGCCAGCAAUUGUAAGUGUGGCUUGAACGAGGCAAUUGGCAAGGUUGCGAGCAUGGUGGAGGAUUUGGAGAAGGAUUUCGCCCAGACAAAGCAUGAGAUCGUUU
rnacentral:lncRNA from 1 species